rnacentral:lncRNA from 1 species
GGCAAUAGAUAGAAUUGAAAACACACCCAUCUUCUUCGCACCAAACCCCUCGCCCUGGAUUAUCUUUAAGAGUAAUAUUGUAAAGACGCUGAUCUACUGAUGCAAUAUCAGCCAUGAGAACAGGUACGCUUUUUGUAUUGUUGCUGCAAUAUUCAAAUCUUUCUUUUCCUAGAGACGUUAAGUGAAUUUUUGAUGUCGAAGUCAAUGAGCAUCUGACAUAUAAUUGAUUUUCAGGAAGACCCAAUGGACUUUUGCAGAGUGAACAAGAAAUUUGUAAUUUCUGAUCCAUGACAGGAUCAGAAUUGAUGCUUGAUGGAGCACAAUUAUUUGUUGGGAGGACUCGUGGCGCUUUUGAUUCCAUGGACUGGUGUUCUGCAGAGUCAGUCGCCAAAUCAAAUUCAAUCCUGCGAUUUGCAUCUUUACUGGCCAUUGUAUCAGUUGUGGAUCUAAAACAGCCAGGAGAUUCCAUAUCGGGGGAAUCAGGUCCUUCAACAAGGUUAAUAAAUGGCAAGCCUAUGGGCUGCCUCUUUUUCUGUGUAUGAGAAUUAACACUCAAAUUAAGAGUAGACUCAGCUUCUGGUAUCAGGCUGCAGGUGUUUGCAUUGAAGUCUUUCUUGGGAGUUACUGCCAAUGAACAGCAGGCUUUGCCAGGAUCUUUACUUGCGUUUGUUAGAGACACUGAAUAAGAUG